ACGCUCGACACCUACGGAGGCAGCAGUGGGGAAUAUUGCACAAUGGGGGAAACCCUGAUGCAGCGACGCCGCGUGAGUGAAGAAGUAUUUCGGUAUGUAAAGCUCUAUCAGCAGGGAAGAAAAUGACGGUACCUGACUAAGAAGCCCCGGCUAACUACGUGCAAGCAGCCGCGGUAAUCUGAGCGGGCUGGCAAGGC
rnacentral:rRNA from 1 species